AUUAUGGAGAGUUUGAUCCUGGCUCAGGACGAACGCUGGCGGCGUGCCUAAUACAUGCAAGUCGAGCGGAUUGAAG
rnacentral:rRNA from 1 species